CGGCGAGUGAAGCGGCAAAAGCUCAAAUUUGAAAUCUAGCACCUUCGGUGUUCGAGUUGUAAUUUGAAGAUGGCAACCUUGGGUUUGGCUCUUGUCUAUGUUCCUUGGAACAGGACGUCAUAGAGGGUGAGAAUCCCGUCUGAUGAGAUGCCCAUUCCUUUGUAAGGUGCUAUCGAAGAGUCGAGUUGUUUGGGAAUGCAGCUCUAAGUGGGUGGUAAAUUCCAUCUAAAGCUAAAUAUUGGCGAGAGACCGAUAGCGAACAAGUACAGUGAUGGAAAGAUGAAAAGAACUUUGAAAAGAGAGUGAAAAAGUACGUGAAAUUGUUGAAAGGGAAGGGCAUUAGAUCAGACUUGGUGUUUUACGAUUAUCUUCUCUUCUUGAGUUGUGCACUCGUAUUUCACUGGGCCAGCAUCGAUUCGGAUGGUAAGAUAAUAGCAGUUAAAUGUGGCUCUUCGGAGUGUUAUAGUUUCUGUUGAUAUUGCCUGUCUGGAUCGAGGGCUGCGUCUUUUGACUAGGAUGCUGGCGUAAUGAUCUAAUGCCGCCC
rnacentral:rRNA from 1 species